GCCUGGUGUAGUGGUUUGAGUGUUGGACUAUGACUCUGAAGACCAGGGCUCAAUUCCCUGGUCA